AAAUCUGGGAAGGUCCUGUCUGAUGCAGCUGUUGGCACUGAAGAACAGUCUUCAACCGUUGGAUCUGGUUACUGACGGAGUUUUGCUAGCAAUAAGGUUGAAAGUGCUCCGGAUAAUGGAGAUGAAACCAACAGUUGACCAGCAAUUUUGUUCCAUGCCGGUGAGGCAAAAGUGGUGGUUUUUCGUUCACGUAAUAAUAAUUUUCUCCGGGAGAGUGGUGCUACUACGAUAAGAAUCCGUUAUAGUAUUGUUUGUUUUUGUCAGGAGAAUCUCAUGAUGUUUUGAUUGUUUGGAUCUGAGUUAGGUCUCUGUGUGUACAACAAGUUGUUUAUGUAUAUAUGAUACCUCUUUGUUUCCCCUUGAAAUCUUCUGUUUUGUUUAAUCUUCUUUCUCUACUGUUUGUGAUGACAACUCUCACUGUUGCCCUCUGUACUGAACCCAAAACUUUUCAUUUUGAACUAAUGCAAGGUUGGGUGGUAUAAUGAAAGCCGAACCGGCCCAAGAAAACCCCCACUUUAUUCAACUGCAACGUGUCUUCAUCCUAACAGCAAUGUGCAAUACAUAGUGUGCACGUUAGACAUUUCCCGAAUCUAUACGGCAUAUAAAAGAGAAUUUUAACGGUUAUUCUUUUUCGCCAUUUUUCUCUCUUUUUCUACCAACUCCCCCCCCUGUUUGAUAUUUUCUAAAUAUUGUUCAAUUUUAUUCGCGAAAAAUAUAUUCAACAAUCAUAUUAAAUUAAAAAAAUCAUGUCGAGAUUAAUAUGGUAUGAAUAUCAUUACAAAUAAUUUUUAAACAAAUAAGUUAUGAAAAAUUUAAAAUAUUUUACUUUCUCUCUUUAUUAAAAUUUUAAAACAUUUUAUUUUAUCUCUCAUACCUCUUAAUAUUGAACAUAUGUAUUUUUUUUCUUCUUCUUUAAUAUAAAUUUUAUUUCAAUUUCUAUUUUUGUUAGAUAUCAAUUUUUGAAUUUAUUUUAUAUAUUGUAUGCAUAUAUAUAUAUAUCUAUAUAGAGGAGAGAUCAAAUGAAAACAUUCAUUUAUGUGUUAACUAGGAACCAAUCUGAGCCCUUCANAGCCAUCAGACCGUAAUCCAUCUGAUGUCCUCAGUCAGUUGUGAUCCUGAUAAGUCAUGCCUUAGAUCCCCUCAUGAUGCACACAGCAGGCAACUCCGCAGCUGCACAAGGUAAUUAUUACUUGUACUGCCUUAUUUCAAUGUCACUAGAUGAUAUAAACAGUAAAAUUGAACUAAAUCACCAAUAUCAGUUGAAUUUCUAUUUUCUAAACCAGCUUUAUGGAGGUCUGGGCCUGGGCCGAUUGGGCCGCCGGGCAGGUUUUCAUAUAUUUUCUGAAUUCCUCUGGGAUCCUUAUUGAAUAUUCUCUCUACUGAAAAUAGAAUUGAUAGAGCGGCGGCGGGGUUGAAGGUUUAUGUGCACCGCCGGUUUCGGGCUGAGAAGAAUUAAUUUUAAUGUUCUGAAUUUUAGUUUUGAUUGCCGUUCUUUUAUUAUUCUUACGUAUCUUAUUAUUGUUCUUAUGUUUUAGUUGUGGGCUUAUGCUUUUGCAUGGGCCUGGAUAGGAGUAGGUUAUUAAUAUGUGUUCUACGCUAGAUUAGGGUUAGUCUCUUUUCUGUGUGAAUUUUACAGCCUAGCUGUAGCAGAGUAUCUCGCUCUGUGACCCACGUUUGGGUGUUCUCCUUCAGUUAAUUCCAGUAUUUUAUCUUCCUAACAUCUUAACUCUAUCAGCACGUCUUGGAUUUCUUUCUGAUUAUGCUUUUCUGCUCCUUUUGCUUAGCUAUGGUUACCAGGAGUAAGAUUUCAUUGUUUUAGAUAUGGUAUUGUAGUAAUUACUGUCUAGAAUGCUUCAGCUGUUGUUAGACAAGAACUUAUGAUUAACAAAUGCUUGCAUAGUAGAUCUGCUUUAAGAAAUGUUUAUGAUUAUAUUUUGAAGCGUAGACUGGGCUUUCUUUUCUUAAAUUAGAAAUGUCAGUUUUCUCUCUUUGGAAGACCCUCUACUGGAUUUAUGAAUGAUGUAUGAGAAUGAAUCUCUUAGGUUCACAUGCAAGGAAUUGCUGUUGGCAGAGCAGUAGACCUGACCAGGUUUGAUUGCUAUGAGGAUCUGCUCAAAAAAUUGGAAGGGAUGUUUGAAAUUACAGGGGAACUCUCUGAGUCAACAAAGAAAUGGCAAGUUGUCUACACAGAUGAUGAGGAUGACAUGAUGAUGGUUGGAGAUGAUCCAUGGCAGUUGAGUCAAAUUUACUUAAUUCUUUCACCUUUCUUUUUAUGUAUUGUUUACUAAGGUUGAGUUUACGUUUGUUGUAAAUUUAUCACAAGAAAAUGAGGGAUAAUUUUUUUUUUCUCCCUUUAAAUCCCUCCUCUCUUAUUUAUCGUCUUCUAUAAAAAGAAUUUAACACUUUCUUAUUCCUACAUUUCAUCCAAGGAGGAAUAAUAUUAUCAUGAGGUAUUGGUGUGAAUAAUAUUAUCCCUCCUUGAAAUGAAAAAGAAAGAGGAAUAAGAAAGGGUGAACUUCUUAUAGAAAAUGAGGGAUAAGAAAGGAGGGAUUUAAAGGGAGAUUUUUUUNAUCCUUCAUUUUCUUGUGAUAAAUUUACAACCAAAGUGAACGCACCCUAAAUCUCUUAUGGCUCUUUAUGUCUAGAUUUACUUAUAAGUUGUCUUAUGACCUCUUUUUUUAAUACUCCUUGUGUCCCAACGAAGGUGAGGCGUAUUCCUUUUCGGGCCGUUCCAACGAAGAUGAGCCGUUUCCUUUUUUGACAAAAAUUAGGCAAUUUAAAUCCCUAAUUAAGAAAACUAAUUGCACCGGUUAUUCUUUGUUAAUCUACUCUCUUCUCAAUUCUCACCGCCUCUCGUCAUUCUCUCGACUUUCUCUUCCCUCCGCCUCCUUUGUUUUUUAUUUCCGGCCUUCUAAUUCUUCUUCUCAAUUAGUUCUGACUCCUCCUCCUUGCUGACCAUUGCCUUUUGCAUCUUGUUCGAUCUGGUAUAUCGAGGCCGCUGCCGGUCACCGGAAAAGGCAAGGUAGAGCUGAGGGAUUUUGGGGUUUUUCUCUUUUGGGGGCGAGACAGGGAGGAAGUCAAUGGUGGGGGUGGCGGUCGACGAUUUCCACCGGAAAUUUGAGUGGUGGGCUCGGCGGCUUCCGGGAAGCCUCCAGUGUUGGGUUUCAGUUUGAUACACUCCAUUGAAUUUUACCAUCUUCUCGCAGAUCUAGGGCUUCACAAAUUUCAUUCACUUCACUAAUUUCUGAAAUUCCUGUUUCUCGUUCCCUAAUUUCAUUUCACUUGUCUUACACAGAUGAUUCUGGUACUUGUUUGAAUCCUCAAACAUUUAGAAAUUCCCAAAUGUUUUAUCAAUGAUUCUCUUCUCUUUAUUCACACGUAAGCAGCCAAAUUAUGAUUUUCCUAAAUGCAGAAUUUUGCAAUGUGAGCUUCUGUACAGGAGAACUGAGACUUACAGAUCCUAAAUGCCGAACUACUUUUGUCUGAAAAAAAAGCAAACAUUAAUUAAAUAUAUUAAGAAAUUCAAAUUAAAAAAUAAUCAGAUUAUUAAAAAAUAAAUUUGAACUCAAAAUUGUUUGAAAAUGGUCUGAACUUGCCUAAUCCUUCUCUAUGGAAGAGAUCAUGUGAAAGCAUACAUAAUUAACCUAUUCCUGUUCGAGAUAGGCUGUUGUCUUAUUUGUUCAUGUAUAUGUUUAUCCAAAUGCCUAUUGUUUGGUUUGUAAAAAGUUUACAUUGGUGAAGGUAGUAUUACUUUUUUGUUGUCAUCAUCAGAUAGGCUCUGCUUCGUUAGGUACAGUCACAAUGAUAAUCUGCAGCUUCUGGAACGGUUAUCAAGUUUUCUGGACAUACAUAUAUGUAAAUGCUUCCACAGAUGCUAAUAUUGUGUCGUGAUUUUAGUGAAUUUUGCACCAUGGUGAAGAAGAUAUAUAUCUACUCAACCGAGGAAGCGAAGAGGCUGUCGCCCAAGAUAAAGCUUCCCAUGGCAGAGGUCAAAUCUGGGAAGGUCCUGUCUGAUGCAGCUGUUGGCACUGAAGAACAGUCUUCAACCGUUGGAUCUGGUUACUGACGGAGUUUUGCUAAUGUUGGAGUUGCAAUAAGGUUGAAAGUGCUCCGGAUAAUGGAGAUGAAACCAACAGUUGACCAGCAAUUUUGUUCCAUGCCGGUGAGGCAAAAGUGGUGGUUUUUCGUUCACGUAAUAAUAAUUUUCUCCGGGAGAGUGGUGAUAAGAAUCCGUUAUAGUAUUGUUUGUUUUUGUCAGGAGAAUCUCAUGAUGUUUUGAUUGUUUGGAUCUGAGUUAGGUCUCUGUGUGUACAACAAGUUGUUUAUGUAUAUAUGAUACCUCUUUGUUUCCCCUUGAAAUCUUCUGUUUUGUUUAAUCUUCUUUCUCUACUGUUUGUGAUGACACUGAACCCAAAACUUUUCAUUUUGAACUAAUGCAAAGGUUGGGUGGUAUUCUAGUUAUGAAAGCCGAACCGGCCCAAGAAAACCCCCACUUUAUUCAAC
rnacentral:lncRNA from 1 species